GUGAAUUUUUAUUUGACAGAUUCCUUGUUAAGCGAUCGAAUUCAUUGGCACUGGACCGUUUAACGCGCAUAUUCGUUUCAUUGAAAAAAUGAUUGCUCGGAUUAUUUGCGUUUAGUCAGUAUUAGGUGCCACACACAAUCUAGCAACCGCCGGGCUCGUUCGCCAAAGUCGAUCGUAUGCUGGUUCAAAGUCUAAUUACGUAUCAGGAGGAUAUGGUGGCCGUCGCGGCUACAGCACGGGUAUUCGCGGAUACAACGGCCCAGUGUAUCAGGGAGUGGGCGGGAUCCCGGAAAACGGAGAUGUCAACAUCUUCGAUUACCUCGGCAUGACCAUUCUAAUACCUUUGUACGCUGCAAUGUUUGGAGAAAUGAAUGCGUUCAGUAAUGCGAGCGGAAUGGGAAAUCUAGCGAUUCCCAGUGUGCCACAACCACCUGCUGGUUACGGUGACCCUUACGGAGGUUACGGCGGCGGUUACGGAUAUGGUGGCACAGGACGCUUACCAGUUAACACCAGUAUUCGGCGGUGUUGGCGGAUUGUAGUUCCCGAAAGUGUUCGUGUAAGUAUACGAGCACAGAUAUUAGUUUAGAUAUUUGAAGUACUGCACUAUGCACCCACACUACCGACUGUCUCGGAUGUUAA